AUUUAAAGAUUUGAGAGCCUGGUUGCAAACAUCUCCAGUGCCAAAAAGGUCAUAGUCGGUUAAGGUCUUCUAAGUCUAUUAAAAAUAACUUCAUCAAGUGUAACGCCCUGAGGGAGGUUUUUUUGUUCAAUUGUAAAGCUUAUUUGGAAGAAAUAAAAAUCCCAUCUGUGCACUGUACUGUUGCGUCAGCCGGAGCCGUGCCUGGUCGUUACGUUAAUUAUGUCGGCCAGGAAUAUCAAAGUGUGAAUUAUUUAAAGCAUGUACAGGAACACACUCAACAAGCACAUCUUCCAUUAAGACAGCUCUUAAAUAGACACGUAAUUCACCCGAAAACGUGUUUCUUUAUAAUAAUCAGAGAGAGAGAGCAAGAUUAAAUAGUGGCAGGUACUUCAGCCGCAGAUGCCACUAUUUGCUGAGACAACUGCGGCUGCUGAAGGGGUGUUACUCUGGGUGCUGAGCCAAGCGAAUGUGUGUGGCAGUUGCCACUUACCUGCCGUGGCAACUGCUUGUGUUUAAACAGUUAUUUAUCGUGGAAAAGUAUUUCCAUGUUCUGCUACUCUGUAAUUCUACUCAAUUACAUUUCAGUGGGAAAUAUUGUACUUUUACAACACUACAUUUAUUUGACACUUGUAGUUACCUUUUUAGAUAAUGUUUAUAUUCAUAUACAUGUACUACUAAUUUACUCAGUUCUUUCCAAAAUAUGCUCUAUAUUAACAAAUCACAACAUUAAAAAAUCUUGUAUAUAUGUAGAUUUUUUAUUAUAAGAACAUUCAUUUUUAUUCUAUGAUGCAACCCUUUUACAAAAGGCUUUCUGCACAAAGUACUUUUUCUUUUGAUACUUUAUUAUAUUUGGCUAAUAACACGUUGGAACUUUACCUUAAGUAUUAUUUUGAACUUGGGACUAUAGCAAGUAAUGGAGUAUUUAUACUUUUACUUUAGUACAGGAUCUGAGUACUUUUUCCACCACUGCUUAAGAUCCAGUAAUGGGUUGCUAUAUCCUGCACCUCACACCCUGAAUUAUGUUAAUGGCUGCAAUAAUAGUUGUUAUUUACAAUACAUUUGGAUCAUUAACACAUUUCUCUUUUUCUCUAGGUUUUGAAUGUGGAGAUGCAAACAAUGUACUGAGACUCAAUCUACAAGGUAAACGCAGAAUUCACCCGCAUCACCACCGUUCCGCUGCUGCCUACCUUCAUGUCUCAACUGGAUCGCCAUUCGUCUCAGUUGAUGAAGGUUUUCAAAAAGAAGGGGGGAACAGCAGGACGCAAUUUGGGCCUGAUCAUGGCAGCCAUGGACAAGGAUCCCACAGUUGAAACACGACGGGACUGUGUCCUUAAAGCGCUCUGCGUCUACUUGAAUGAAAGUUCCGAGAGCUUCAUAAAGGAAUAUUUGGAUGUUGAACUUGCAACAACCCAAAUGGAGCCAAUGGUAUUGGGACUCUAUCUCGUGAAACACGAAGGAGCAGAACCCGGGCGUCAUCAUCGAGGGUGUUGGAGUGCUGCGAGAGCUGAAAUACUUGGCAAAUGGAUGGGCAGUAUUGCUUGGACUGAUUUACAGCCUCAAUCUGAGCUACCGCAAGGACCUGAAACAUACAUUUGAAUUCAUUCAAAAAGUAUUGAUGGGGUUGGAUGGCAACAGACUGUCAACCAAGGUGCAGGUUCUGAAAAACAGAUUACAAGAGUAAUCCCAAGGACAAAAUACUGUGACAGAGAUAACGUCCAGUUCAUUUCCAUCUCGGUACAUUCUCUCACACACACACCACACCACACCACACCACACCACACCACACCAC